UACAGAGGGUGCAAGCGUUGUUCGGAAUUAUUGGGCGUAAAGAGCGUGUAGGCGGCCAGGUAGGUCCGCUGUGAAAACUCGAGGCUCAACCUCGAGAUGUCGGCGGAAACCAUCUGGCUAGAGUCCGGAAGAGGAGAGUGGAAUUCCUGGUGUAGCGGUGAAAUGCGCAGAUAUCAGGAAGAACACCCGUGGCGAAGGCGGCUCUCUGGGACGGUACUGACGCUGAGACGCGAAAGCGUGGGGAGCGAACAGG
rnacentral:rRNA from 1 species